rnacentral:tRNA from 1 species
GCUUUAUUAGUUUAUUAAAGAAUUUUGGUCUUGUAAACCAAAGGUGGGCUUCCCCAUAAAGUA